UUGAAAGGGAAACGAUUGAAGUCAGUCGUACCAGCGGGAAAUCAACCUUUCGAGUGGGGGUUUUGGAGUUUUGAAGAGUGUCAAAACCUUUGAGAUUUCAAAAUNUUCGCUCUUUUGGUGUACUUUCUCGUGGGUAGGUUAACAUCGAUUUUGAUCAUCAUAAAAAGAUUGGAGGAAUGUAGCUUCGAUCUUGUAUUGAAGUGUUAUAGCCUUUGGUAAAUGUGAUGAUUAGGAUCGAGGAUUGCAACGAAUACCCUUUUGGGCUAUCCGCCUGAUCUCUGAUACGUGGCCUUGGUAUCGAAAGCGUGCUUAUGGUAUUGAGGUAUUACGGUCAAAAGGUUAGAACGGAUUACAUUCGUUAAGGAUGUUGACGUA
rnacentral:rRNA from 1 species